rnacentral:lncRNA from 1 species
CAACGGUAUUGUGCGAGAGUAUAGAAUCGGAAGACUUGUAGGCCGGUAAGAGCAAGAGAAGGUACUGACUAAUUGUGUGAUAUUUUGCAUGCAUUGAGUUCUUCAUUUGAAAAGAUUUGAAGUUUAAAUUCAUUUGGAAACAUCUUUCUUGAUGGACUUUGUUUUCUCGAUUAGAACCCAAGAUAGCAAUAAUGCUACUUUUUGUGUGAAAGCCAGCAUAGGAUUUGUGGGCAAUCCUUGGCCCAAAAUUGGGACGGCUAUGAAAUAUUGAUUCAAAAGUAAUUUCCUGAUGCUCAUUCAUCUUCUUCACGAGCCACGUUUCUAUUAGGUAUAUUCAUAGCAUCAUCUGACUCCAUUCAAAAUGCCCUAGGACAUUCAUUAAGAGCAAAAUCCUUAUUAUCCUAGACUAGAAAAAGAAAAUAGUCAAACAUUUGAUCAAGAAAUUAUAAAAUUAGCCAUUUUAUCUCGUUGAUGAAUUUUCUAGAUGAAAACUAUUGCUAAAGUGUAUGAGAAGCAGAUUCCAAGAUUAGACCCCAAAUUUUAAGUUUUCUUGCAUAGUUUCCAAUUAUGGAAACAUCAGUCUUGAGGCCAUGAUCACCAUGCAAAUAUUGUUGUUGGCUUCCGUAGAAGCGAAGCUUGCAGAGGAACUAACACGUCCAAUUGUCAUGCCCCAAUCCAUCAACAUGAAUCGGGCUGAUAUAUGGCUGCACAUCCAGGGUUUGGCCCCAAAAGGCAUUUGCCAAAAUUUUUAAUUCCAAAAGUAGAUCCUCCAUCCAACAAUGAACAGGCAAUGACAAUUAGAGUAUCUCUACACUCCAUCAUAACAAUUUAAACAAUCAAAUCUUAAUAAUUUAGAAAUCAUUUUGGUCAAACAUUCAAGAAU